rnacentral:misc_RNA from 1 species
UCUCCGUAGGUGAACCUGCGGAGGGAUCAUUACAGAGUUCAUGCCCUACCGGGUAGAUCUCCCACCCUAUGUUAUUAUUACUUUGUUGCUUUGGCGGGCCGUUUGGCUCCGGCCCGACUACCGGCCCCGGCUGGUAAGCGCCCGCCAGAGGACCCAAAACCCUGAAUAUUAGUGUCGUCUGAGUACUAUAUAAUAGCUAAAACUUUCAACAACGGAUCUCUUGGUUCUG